rnacentral:rRNA from 1 species
AAUAUUGCGCAAUGGAGGGAACUCUGACGCAGCGACGCCGCGUGAGCGAUGAAGGUCUUCGGAUCGUAAAGCUCUGUCCUUGGGGAAGAAGGUCUUCGGACUUGACGGUACCCAAUGAGGAAGCCCCGGCUAACUACGUGCCAGCAGCCGCGGUAAUACGUAGGGGGCGAGCGUUGUCCGGAAUUACUGGGCGUAAAGGGUGCGUAGGCGGCCCUUUAAGUCAGAUGUGAAAGCCCACGGCUUAACCGUGGGACUGCAUUUGAAACUGGAGGGCUUGAGUGUCGGAGAGGGCAGUGGAAUUCCCAGUGUAGCGGUGGAAUGCGUAGAUAUUGGGAGGAACACCAGUGGCGAAGGCGACUGCCUGGACGAUAACUGACGCUGAGGCACGAAAGCUAGGGGAGCAAACA